rnacentral:rRNA from 1 species
UGGGGAAUAUUGGACAAUGGGCGCAAGCCUGAUCCAGCCAUGCCGCGUGAGUGAUGAAGGCCCUAGGGUUGUAAAGCUCUUUCAGCGAGGAGGAUAAUGACGUUACUCGCAGAAGAAGCCCCGGCUAACUUCGUGCCAGCAGCCGCGGUAAUACGAAGGGGGCUAGCGUUGUUCGGAAUCACUGGGCGUAAAGCGCACGUAGGCGGACUUUUAAGUCAGGGGUGAAAUCCCGGGGCUCAACCUCGGAACUGCCUUUGAUACUGGAAGUCUGGAGUCCGAGAGAGGUGAGUGGAACUCCGAGUGUAGAGGUGAAAUUCGUAGAUAUUCGGAAGAACACCAGUGGCGAAGGCGGCUCACUGGCUCGGUACUGACGCUGAGGUGCGAAAAGCGUGGGGAGCAAAACAGGAUUAGAUACCCUGGUAGUCCACGCCGUAAAACGAUGGAAGCUAGCCGUCAGGGUGCAUGCAUCUUGGUGGCGCAGUUAACGCAUUAAGCUUCCCGCCUGGGGAGUACGGUCGCAAGAUUAAAAACUCAAAUGAAUUGACGAGGUCAUAGCUGUUUCCU